AUGGCCGCCGCCGCCCUCCUCCGCCGCUCGCCGGCGGCGCGCGCCCUCCUUUCGCCGGCCCUCUCCUCCCGCCUCGUCGCCUCCAAGCCCCACUCCUCAUCCCCCGCGCCGCCGCCGCCCUCGUCGAAGCCCGCCAGCACCAAGACCUUCUCGAUCUACCGCUGGGACCCCGACUCCCCGUCGACCAAGCCCCACCUCAAGGACUACAAGGUGGACCUCUCCGACUGCGGCCCCAUGGUGCUCGACGCGCUCCUCAAGAUCAAGAACGAGCAGGACCCAUCCCUCACCUUCCGCCGGAGCUGCCGUGAGGGCAUCUGCGGCAGCUGCGCCAUGAACAUCGACGGCGACAACGGGCUGGCCUGCCUCACCAAGAUCUCCUCGGAGGCGGCCGGGGCCUCCACGAUCUCGCCGCUCCCCCACAUGUUCGUCGUCAAGGACCUCGUCGUCGACAUGACCAACUUCUACAACCAGUACAAGAGCGUGGAGCCGUGGCUCAAGCGCAAGGACCCGCCGUCGGCCGGUGGGAAGGAGAUCUACCAGUCCAAGGCCGACCGCGCCAAGCUUGAUGGCAUGUACGAGUGCAUCCUCUGCGCCUGCUGCUCCACAUCCUGCCCGUCCUACUGGUGGAACCCAGAGGAGUAUCUCGGCCCUGCCGCACUGCUCCAUGCCAACAGGCUUCCGCUGUGGGGGACGCUAAUGAAACCGAAACCCAGCAUGCUUCCGCUGUGGGGGGCGGUAAUGAAACCAAAACCCAGCAUGUUCAUGCACGUCCAAGCUCGAGGAUACCAUGGGGUCUCAGUCUCAGAGAAGAGAAACUUGCGGGAUCACAAACGUAGAAUUCUUGCAGCAAAAUAUGAGCUGAGAGGAAAGCUUUAUAAGGCUGUCUGUAGGGACCCUGAACUUCCAUCAGAUAUGCGGGAUAAGUUUCGCUAUAAGUUGUCCAAGCUGCCAAGAAAUAGUAACAUGACACGUCUUAGAAACCGCUGUAUUUUCACGGGCCGCUCUCGUGGUGUCUACCAGAAAUUCCGCAUGUCUCGUAUCGUGUUCCGCACCUUGGCAAACAAGGGUGAACUGAUGGGUGUUAAGAAAGCGUCUUGGUAG
rnacentral:rRNA from 1 species